GUAAACUUGGGGCCAGCUGGGGGGGUGAGAGGAAGGAUGUAAGAGUUAUCCGGAUGCAUUGUGUUUAAAGGGUGCGUAGGCGGACUUGUAAGUCAGUGGUGAAAUCUCUUUGCUUAACAAAGAAACUGCCAUUGAUACUGCUAGUCUAGAGUAUAGAUGACGUUGGCGGAAUAUGACAUGUAGUGGUGAAAUACUUAGAUAUGUCAUAGAACACCGAUUGCGAAGGCAGCUAACGAAACUAUAACUGACGCUGAGGCACGAAAGUGCGGGGAUCAAACAGGAUUAGAUACCCGAGUAGUC
rnacentral:rRNA from 1 species